CAGUGAUUUUAAUAAUCAGGCCGAGGAUGAGGCCACAGCUAAUGAUGUGCCCUGUAAUUGCAAACGCAGAUCUUGAAUUUGAGGCAAAUGCCGCUGCUGCUUUGUUACAACUUCAGCAGCGGAAAGGACAUUGAUCUACGCAUAAAACGAUCGAAACUGAUUUAGUAUAAACUUUAUAUUUAGUUCGUGUCAUUUUCAGUGCCGUAGCCAGCUC